UGGGAAUUUUGGACAAUGGGCGCAAGCCUGAUCCAGCAAUGCCGCGUGCAGGAAGAAGGCCUUCGGGUUGUAAACUGCUUUUGUCAGGGAAGAAAUCCUUUGGGGUUAAUACCUCGAAGGGAUGAUGGUACCUGAAGAAUAAGCACCGGCUAACUACGUGCCAGCAGCCGCGGUAAUACGUAGGGUGCGAGCGUUAAUCGGAAUUACUGGGCNUAAAGCGUGCGCAGGCGGCUUUGCAAGACAGAGGUGAAAUCCCCGGGCUCAACCUGGGAACUGCCUUUGUGACUGCAAGGCUAAGUACGGCAGAGGGGGGAUGGAAUUCCGCGUGUAGCAGUGAAAUGCGUAGAUAUGCGGAGGAACACCGAUGGCGAAGGCAAUCCCCUGGGGCCUGUACUGACGCUCAUGCACGAAAAGCGUGGGGAGCAAAACAGGAUUAGAUACCCUGGUAGUCCACGCCCUAAAACGAUGUCAACUGGUUGUUGGACGGCUUGCUGUUCAGUAACGAAGCUAACGCGUGAAGUUGACCGCCUGGGGAGUACGGCCGCAAGGUUGAAACUUAAAGGAAUUAACGGGGGUC
rnacentral:rRNA from 1 species